UAUAUAUGUAAAGAAAAAAUAUUAUUUUCUUUACUUUAAAUAUUCCCUAUAUUUAUAAUUUAUAUAGACAACAUAGGAAACCUUUUUUAUUCGGUUUGUUAUAUCUGGUUGAUAGAUAAGAUUGUCUAGCUGUCACGACGAAACAAUUAUUGAUUAAUAUUUAAAAGAUAGUUAUUUAAGAAAUUAUUUGUGAUUUUGGAUUCGACACUGGAAUUAAUAACAUUAAAUGUCGUUUCUUUUAUUACAGAGAAACUCAAUUGUGUUUUAAUUGAUUGUGUCGUCUAAAUCACAAGAAAAUUUUAUCUUACAAAACGACAUUUCUUGUCAAAAAAAAAAAUAAAAAAAUGGAAAAGCUGAAAUUUUCAUUU